rnacentral:rRNA from 1 species
GACGAACGCUGGCGGCGUGCUUAACACAUGCAAGUCGAGCGGUAAGGCCCUUUCGGGGGUACACGAGCGGCGAACGGGUGAGUGACACGUGGGUGACCUGCCUUUAGCUCUGGGAUAAGCCUGGGAAACUGGGUCUAAUACCGGAUAUGACUCCGCGGUGCAUGCUGUGGGGUGGAAAGCCUUGUGCGGCUGGAGAUGGGCCCGCGGCCUAUCAGCUUGUUGGUGGGGNGAUGGCCUACCAAGGCGACGACGGGUAGCCGGCCUGAGAGGGCGACCGGCCACACUGGGACUGAGACACGGCCCAGACUCCUACGGGAGGCAGCAGUGGGGAAUCUUGCGCAAUGGGCGAAAGCCUGACGCAGCGACGCCGCGUGAGGGAUGACGGCCUGGUGUAAC